rnacentral:misc_RNA from 1 species
GAAAUGCGAUAAGUAAUGUGAAUUGCAGAAUUCAGUGAAUCAUCGAAUCUUUGAACGCACAUUGCGCCCGCCAGUAUUCUGGCGGGCAUGCCUGUUCGAGCGUCAUUACAACCCUCAGGCCCCCGGGCCUGGCGUUGGGGAUCGGCGGAAGCCCCCUGCGGGCACAACGCCGUCCCCCAAAUACAGUGGCGGUCCCGCCGCAGCUUCCAUUGCGUAGUAGCUAACACCUCGCAACUGGAGAGCGGCGCGGCCACGCCGUAAAACACCCAACUUCUGAAUGUUGACCUCGACUCAGGUAGGAAUACCCGCUGAACUUAAGC